UCCAGUGGUAGUCAGCUGUCUGAGUCACUCCCAUGUCUUUGAUAGUGUUACACUACUGGAAGAUAAAAGUACUGUUUCAGCAGCUGCCGGUCGCUGUCUCUGUUCUGGAGACAUAGACACAGUGUGGGCAGUGCUGUGCUUCGCUGAGAGUGCGCUGAGCAAGACACAUCCUGGUCAGUGCUAGUCUGGAAGCAUACACA